rnacentral:misc_RNA from 1 species
GUUAAAGGCAAAUCACCUACAGAUUUGGGAAUUCUUCCACUAAAAUGAUUAAAAGAAAGAUUCAAAGUCCCAGAUAAUGACUUCAAUUCACCAAUAUCAUGAGGAAUCGAACCAUUGAACAAAUUCGACGAUAGAUCAAGUUGUUCCAAAUUCGCCAACUCCGGGAACACCCCCACCGGAAUCUCACCGGAAAAUUUAUUCCGAGCUAAAAUAAGCCUCUGUAACUGCCUACAAUUACGUAGAUCCUUAGAGAAAGU